rnacentral:rRNA from 1 species
UAUGUGAUCGUCUCUUGCAUAUCAAUAAGCGGAGGAAAAGAAACUAACAAGGAUUCCCCUAGUAACGGCGAGUGAAGCGGGAAGAGCUCAAAUUUGAAAUCUUAAAGGGUUUCCCUUUACGAAUUGUAGUUUAAAGAAGUGUUUUCUGUUGAGGUUUUGGUAAAAGUUCUUUGGAAUAGGACAUCAUAGAGGGUGAGAAUCCCGUAUUUGACCUUUACUUUCAACUUUGUGAUACACUUUCAAAGAGUCGGAUUGUUUGGGAAUGCAGUCCAAAAUGGGUGGUAAAUUUCAUCUAAAGCUAAAUAUUGGCGAGAGACCGAUAGCGAACAAGUACCGUGAGGGAAAGAUGAAAAGAACUUUGAAAAGAGAGUUAAACAGUACGUGAAAUUGUCAAAAGGGAAGCGUUUGACACCAGUGUUGUUUUUCUGAAAAUCAAUUAAAGAACUGUUUAUGCUAAGUUGUUUAGACUUUAUCAGCUAUCUGUUUAGUUUUGAGCUUUUCUUUAAUGCACUUUUCAGUUAACAAGUCAACAUCAAUUUCUUUUGCUGUAAAAAAGCUUGAGGAAGGUGGCUUGAGAUUCGUCUUAAGUGUUUAUAGCCUCUUGCUUAUGCAGUCGGAGAGAUUGAGGUCUGCAGCGUAGAUCCUUCGGGGCUAAAUGCAUUUGUGCUAAGUUAUAGCAUUUUAUAGACAACUUGUUGACUAUGAUUUGUCUUGUAGCUUACUCGCUUAUGUUAUUUUACCUACGCUUAGGAUGUUGAGUAGCGACAUACGCAC